rnacentral:lncRNA from 1 species
GUUUUGUCCUUCUCCAAACAGGGGCAGGUGGGAAUACGCUGAAGCAGAAGCACCAAAGUUAGAAGGAGAUCUUCUAAGGUGUAGAGAAACAGAAAGAACAUCUUCUGAAGGAGGGGCAGGAUCUGCAUACUGAAGUUGGAGAGAGAAGCCAGAAUAUUUGCUGUACAUGAAAGAGUUGGGAGGUACAAAUGUCUUCAAGAAAUCUCUAGAAGUCACAUGUGCUCAUCUGGCCUGAGAGCUCAAACUACUCAAACUGACCUCAUAUCACUGCCAUGCCACAAGGAGAAGCAAAACUAGCGAAACGAUAUCCAGUGGUGCACAAGGAUUUCCCAUCAUGCUACAGG